AUUGAACGCUGGCGGCACGCCUAACACAUGCAAGUCGAGCGGUAGCAUGGGUAGUAGCAAUACUACCUGAUGACGAGCGGCGGACGGGUGAGGAACACGUAGGAACCUGCCCUCAAGCGGGGGAUAACCAAGGGAAACUUUGGCUAAUACCGCAUGAACUCGAAGAGAAAGCUGCCCGCAAGGGUGGCACUUGAGGAGGGGCCUGCGUCCGAUUAGCUAGUUGGUAGGGUAAAAGCCUACCAAGGCGAUGAUCGGUAACUGGUCUGAGAGGACGACCAGUCACACUGGGACUGAGACACGGCCCAGACUCCUACGGGAGGCAG
rnacentral:rRNA from 1 species